AUUGAACGCUGGCGGCAGGCUUAACACAUGCAAGUCGAGCGGGGGAAGGUAGCUUGCUACCGGACCUAGCGGCGGACGGGUGAGUAAUGCUUAGGAAUCUGCCUAUUAGUGGGGGACAACAUCUCGAAAGGGAUGCUAAUACCGCAUACGUCCUACGGGAGAAAGCAGGGGGUCUUCGGACCUUGCGCUAAUAGAUGAGCCUAAGUCGGAUUAGCUAGUUGGUGGGGUAAAGGCCUACCAAGGCGACGAUCUGUAGCGGGUCUGAGAGGAGGGUCCGCCACACUGGGACUGAGACACGGCCCAGACUCCUGCGGGAGGCAGCAGUGGGGAAUAUUGGACAAUGGGGGGAACCCUGAUCCAGCCAUGCCGCGUGUGUGAAGAAGGCCUUAUGGUUGUAAAGCACUUUAAGCGAGGAGGAGGCUACUCUAGUUAAUACCUAGGGAUAGUGGACGUUACUCGCAGAAUAAGCACCGGCUAACUCUGUGCCAGCCGCCGCGGUAA
rnacentral:rRNA from 1 species